GAUGAAGAACGUAGCGAAAUGCGAUAAGUAAUGUGAAUUGCAGAAUUCAGUGAAUCAUCGAAUCUUUGAACGCAUCUUGCGCUCCUUGGUAUUCUGAGGAGCAUGCCUGUUUGAGUGUCAUUAAAUUCUCAACUACACUGACUUUGAGUUGGUGUGGCUUGGAUUUGGGGGGAAAAUUGUUGUGGGCUUUUUGUAUAGUCUGCUCCCCUGAAAUUGAUUAGCGGUACCUUUGUGGAACUGUCUACAGGUGUGAUAAUUAUCUACAUCUUAGACAUCUGCUGGAAUGCUGCUUUCUAAACCUUACUUGUAUUGACAAUCUUGACCUCAAAUCAGGUAGGACUACCCGCUGAACUUAAGCAUAUCAAUAAGCGGAGGA
rnacentral:misc_RNA from 1 species